AUUGAACGCUGGCGGCAGGCCUAACACAUGCAAGUCGAACGAGUGGCGGACGGGUGAGUACUGUCCGGGAAACUGCCUGAUGGAGGGGGAUAAAUACUGGAAACGGUCGCUAAUACCGCAUACCAUCGGAUGUGCCCAGAUGGGAUUAGCUAUUAGGUGGGGUAAAGGCUCACCUAGGCGACGAUCCCUAGCUGGUCUGAGAGGAUGACCAGCCACACUGGAACAUAGACACGGUCCAGACUCCUACGGGUGGCAGCAGUGGGGAAUAUUGCACAAUGGGCGCAAGCCUGAUGCAGCCAUGCCGCGUGUAUGAAGAAGGCCUUCGGGUUGUAAAGUACUGUCAGCGGGGAGGCGUUACCCGCAGAAGAAGCACCGGCUAACUCCGUGCCAGCAGCCGCGGUAAUAC
rnacentral:rRNA from 1 species